UUUUCCCGGCCCCCCCCAACCCCCCCGGACAGGACCCCCUUGAGCUUGUCCCUCAGCUGCCACCAUGAGCGCCAAGAUCACUCCAUGGAUGAAAUGACAGCUGUGGUGAAAAUUGAAAAAGGAGUUGGUGGCAAUAAUGGGGGCAAUGGUAAUGGUGGUGGUGCCUUUUCACAGGCUCGAAGUAGCAGCACAGGCAGUAGCAGCAGCACUGGAGGAGGAGGGCAGAGUCCCAGCCAUCCCCUUUGGCUCUGCUGGCAGCAACUUGCAGCAGAAUUGAGUCACCCAAUGAGAACAGCAACAACUCCCAGGGCCCGAGUCAGUCAGGGGGAACAGGUGAGCUUGACCUCACAGCCACACAACUUUCACAGGGUGCCAAUGGCUGGCAGAUC
rnacentral:lncRNA from 1 species